UACGAAGGGGCUAGCGUUGCUCGGAAUUACUGGGCGUAAAGCGCACGUAGGCGGCUUUCUAAGUCGGGGGUGAAAUCCUGGAGCUCAACUCCAGAACUGCCUUCGAUACUGGAGAGCUUGAGUCCGGGAGAGGUGAGUGGAACUGCGAGUGUAGAGGUGAAAUUCGUAGAUAUUCGCAAGAACACCAGUGGCGAAGGCGGCUCACUGGCCCGGUACUGACGCUGAGGUGCGAAAGCGUGGGGAGCAAACAGG
rnacentral:rRNA from 1 species